rnacentral:rRNA from 1 species
ACUCAAAGGAAUAGACGGGGGCCCGCACAAGCGGCGGAGCAUGCGGAUUAAUUCGAUGCAACGCGAAGAACCUUACCAAGGCUUGACAUAUACCGGAAACAUCUAGAGAUAGGUGCCCCGCAAGGUCGGUAUACAGGUGGUGCAUGGUUGUCGUCAGCUCGUGUCGUGAGAUGUUGGGUUAAGUCCCGCAACGAGCGCAACCCUCGUUCUAUGUUGCCAGCGCGUAAUGGCGGGGACUCAUAGGAGACUGCCGGGGUCAACUCGGAGGAAGGUGGGGAUGACGUCAAAUCAUCAUGCCCCUUAUGUCUUGGGCUUCACGCAUGCUACAAUGGCCGGUACAAAGGGCUGCGAAACCGCGAGGUAGAGCGAAUCCCAAAAAACCGGUCUCAGUUCGGAUUGGGGUCUGCAACUCGACCCCAUGAAGUCGGAGUCGCUAGUAAUCGCAGAUCAGCAACGCUGCGGUGAAUACGUUCCCGGGCCUUGCACACACCGCCCGU